CCUACGGGGUGCACCAGUGGGGAAUAUUGGACAAUGGGCGAAAGCCUGAUCCAGCAAUGCCGCGUGUGUGAAGAAGGUCUUCGGAUUGUAAGCACUUUCGACGGGGACGAUGAUGACGGUACCCGUAGAAGAAGCCCCGGCUAACUUCGUGCCAGCAGCCGCGGUAAUACGAAGGGCGCUAGCGUUGCUCGGAAUGACUGGGCGUAAAGGGCGCGUAGGCGGUUUAUGCAGUCAGAUGUGAAAUCCCCGGGCUUAACCUGGGAACUGCAUUUGAGACGCAUAGACUAGAGGUCGAGAGAGGCGUGUGGAAUUCCCAGUGUAGAGGUGAAAUUCGUAGAUAUUGGGAAGAACACCGGUGGCGAAGGCGGCAACCUGGCUCGAUAUUGACGCUGAGGCGCGAAAGCGUGGGGAGCAAAUAGGAUUAGAUACCCUCGUAGUC
rnacentral:rRNA from 1 species